UGGCGCACGGGUGCGUAACACGUGGGAAUAUACCCUUGGGUAAGGAAUAAUGUCUGGAAACGGACACUAAUACCUUAUAAUGACUUCGGUCCAAAGAUUUAUCGCCUAAGGAUUAGCCCGCGCCUGAUUAGGUAGUUGGUGAGGUAAUGGCUCACCAAGCCGACGAUCAGUAGGGGUUCUGAGAGGAUGAUCCCCCACACUGGUACUGAGACACGGACCAGACUCAUACGGGAGGCAGCAGUGAGGAAUAUUGGACAAUGGAGGAAACUCUGAUCCAGCCAUGCCGCGUGAGUGAAGAAGGCCUUAGGGUUGUAAAGCUCUUUCAACGGUGAAGAUAAUGACGGUAGCCGUAGAAGAAGCCCCGGCUAAAUUCGUGCCAGCAGCCGCGGUAAUACGAAUGGGGCAAGCGUUGUUCGAAAUAACUGGGCUUAAAGCGU
rnacentral:rRNA from 1 species